GUUUAUUUGAUGGUACCUUACUACUCCGGUUACCCGUAGUAAAUCUAGAACUUAUACGUGCCCACAUCCCGACCUCUGGAAAGGACGUAAUUAUUAGAUAAAAGACCGACCGGCCUCGGCCCAACCUCGGUGAAUCAGGAUAACUUGACGAAUCGCAUGGCCCCGUGCCGGCAUGUUUCAUUCAAAUUUCUGCCCUAUCAACUUUCGAUGGUAAGAUACAGGCCUACCAUGGUGGUAACAGGUGACGGAGAAUUAGGGUUCCAUUCCAGAAAGGGAGCCUUAGAGACAGGUACCCCAUCCAAGGAAGCCACUUGGGCGCAAAUUACCCAAUCCCGACACUGGGAAGUACUGACACAAAAUAACAAUACUGGGCCCAUUCGGGUCUGGUAAUUGGAAUGAAAACAAUCUAAACCCCUUAUCGAGGAUCCAUUGGA
rnacentral:rRNA from 1 species